GGCGGAGAGAGUUGAGGCGGGCGCGGACGGACUCAGAGGAAAGCUCUAUAGCGCGGUUGCCCAUUCGCCAUCGAUGGAGAAGGAUAAAUCCUAAUAAUUGUGAUGAAGCUGGUGAUGAUAUUACCGGUUUCGGCUGGGGUCUUCCAAUAUUAGGCUUCUAUGGAGGGUGGAACCCAGGAUUGCAACCAUCUGCUCAGCAGUACCCAUUUUUCCAGGGAGGGUGGACCGCAGCUCUGAACCAAGGGUUCAUGCCACUCCCAACUCCAGCAUCAUCUCCUGCACCCCAUGCUCAAAAUCAGCCAGUCGCUGCAACGGUCGAGUGUUGAAGCAGCAGUAAUGAAAGAGAGUCAGGGUGAUGGGGAAGGAGCAUCGGUGGCAGCUGGUCGACAACGCAAGGUCGUACCUAGUCGCAGCAAGUUAUCCAACUUCUCCCCAAAAGAAGAUAUGUUCCUUGUGAAGUCAUGGUUGGAGAUUAGCUAUGACCCAAUUAUAAACACAGGGCAGAAGAAGGAGGGGUUCUGGGCUAGGAUUACAAGCCAGUACAAUAACAAGAGGAGUUCCUUUCCUGAGAGAAGUUUCAGAUCGCUGCAGAGUCGUUGGGAAACUAUCAAGGCUGAAGCGAGUAAAUUUGCAGGGCACAUGGCAAAUGUUCUUCGAGACAAUCCGAGCGGGAUAAGUGAUGCAGAUAAGACCUCUUUAGCUCUAGCUAACUUUGCAGACAUCGAACAAUACCCGUUUAUUUGCAUGCAUUGCUAGGAUUUGCUGAAGGAUGAGCCUAAGUGGAUGGAGCUCAACAUGAGAGGGGCACGACCUGGAGACAACGAUGCAAUAGCCGAUCACAUUCCCACAGCCGCCACCAACAUCGAUCAUGACCCGGAGACACCGUCUUCUUAGUACUCAGGGAGCAAGAGGCCUAUGGGGAGGGAUGCAACUAAAAGAGCAGCUAAGAAAUCAGCCUUUUCCUCUUCGUCAGAUUCAUCUCAGUAUGUUUCAAAGUUGCAGGACCUAUCGAUACAAAAGAUUUCAAUAUGGCAAGAAGAAAAUGCGAAGAAAGGCUCUCGCUAUGAGCAAAUGGCAGCCAUCGAGUCACAGAGGUACGAUGAGGUGGCCAACACAAUCAGCACAUGGUAGCAAUUGAGGAAGAGAAACUGCGGAUCAUGUGUAAGAAAGCUGACAUACUACAAACACACGAGGAAGAGCGCAUCCUCGGGAUUGAUCUGAACAAGUGUGCUCCGCCCCUCCGCAAGUACUAUGAAAAGAAACAACAAGAGAUGCUGAAGAACAUUGGUGCCAACGUAGAUGACAGUGUAGACCCUUAAACUAGUGUUGUAAUGUGUUGCAUUGAGGAUUGUCCUAGUUGAGGCUACCUUGCAGUGGCUGUGUUGUACUAUUAAUAAUUGUGAACUCCAAUACUAGUUUAUGAAA